rnacentral:rRNA from 1 species
UUACCGUGAAAAAAUUAGAGUGUUCAAAGCAGGCAGAUCCAAUUUUCUGCCACCGAAUACAUUAGCAUGGGAUAAUUGGAAUAGGACCCUGUCCUCCUAUUUUCAGUUGGUUUUGGCAGCGCGAGGACUAGGGUAAUGAUUAAUAGGGAUAGUUGGGGGCAUUAAUAUUUAAUUGUCAGAGGUGAAAUUCUUGGAUUUAUGAAAGAUUAACUUCUGCGAAAGCAUCUGCCAAGGAUGUUUUCAUUAAUCAAGAACGAAAGUUAGGGGAUCGAAGACGAUCAGAUACCGUCGUAGUCUUAACCAUAAACGAUGCCGACCAGCGAUUAGGAGACGUUGAAUACAAAACACCACCAUCGGUUGCGGUCGUCCUUGGCGUCUCGGUUUCGGCCGGGGCGCGGGGACGGUUUAGCCCGGUGGCACCGGUGAAUGACUCCUA